rnacentral:lncRNA from 1 species
UUGUUGUUUGUUUUUUGUUUUUAGUAGAAACAGGGUUUCACCAUGUUGGCCAGGCUGGUCUCAAACUCCUGAUCUCAGGUGAUCCGCUGCCUCCACCUCCCAAAGUGCUGGUAUUACAAGUGUGAGCCACUGCACCUGGCCUUUCUUCAGUAUUUUUAUACCUAUGGUUGAUUUUCUUCCUCUGGAAGUGUUUUUUUUUUUUGGUUAAUCCUAGGCACACUGCUAGUUCCCCUCUUUUCUCUUUUAUUCAGUUUUUACUUGACUGUUUUAUUUUCCAUGAAUGCAUUUGUCAUGAGUAAUUCAGUAGUAUUUUGUUUUUAUUUCUCUUACUUCACAGGUUAUAUGAAGUUUGGGCAUUCUCUACUAAUAAAACUCACGAAAGCAGGAAAUAAAUAUGGGACUGAAAAUUCUAGAAAAACAUCUCUCUUAGAAGAUGACUGGAGCCCUAGAUGGGCAAUGAGCAUGGAAUUAAAGAGAACACCAAGAUAAAUGUGUUUAAGUCUUCAGGCUGUGCUUGAAGAGAACUUGCUAUUGAGCUACCAGAACCACUGCUAUUGAUCCUCAGAGAUAUGAAGGGGCAUGAGACAGCUGCGAGGAGAUUGCAUGUGGGUAAAUAGUGUUCACAUUUCCACAAAGUGAAAGAUGAGUUAUGUAAGACAAUUAUAACAAUGAGCCUAAGCUGGGUCACAGAAUGGUUAUUAAAAAGGUAGUUUGGAAUUACUAAGGUGAAGCACUAGUUGAAGAGAAGUCCAUUGUGAAGAAGCACUAUCAUGUUAGCUGGACUACUUUCUUUGAUAGGAUGGAUAGGUUUGGGGGAUUACUGUAAAUAUGAUGUAUCUGGAAUUGAGAAGACAUUUGACAAAUCUUUUAUUACAUCCCUGUGGACAAAUGGAAAAUAUAGGCUGUAUUAUAGUAUCAUCUGAUUCCUAUUAUUUCCUAUAAUGAUUAGACAUAUCUGUGUCAGAUACUCACCCCACCAUAUAAAAGAAGUCCAUUAACACAUUCUUUUCCACUCCCAUGUCCUAAACAGUUGUUCCUCAUUCAUUACCCUGAUUUAUUUUCCCAUUCAUUAUUUAUUUAUUAAGGUAUUUCACUUUAUCUUGAGCCUUGGAACUAUUACUUAUUAUAAUUUUCUGGCUAGCAUCUACACUUCACUAGCAUUCUAAACUUGGCUAAGUCUCUCUUUGGUCACUUCUAUGACAAGGAAUUACUGUAAAUUGAAGAUGAUAAAACUGUAAUGCAAAAUGUAGGAAUAAAAGAAUGGUAGACUCAGUGUUCAGAUUCUGAACACCAUAUGUAAGAGUUAAACUAAGUAAAUUUCACAAUAUUUCUUCUUAUAUAUUCCAC